AGUGAACGCUGGCGGUAGGCCUAACACAUGCAAGUCGAACGGCAGCACAGAGGAGCUUGCUCCUUGGGUGGCGAGUGGCGGACGGGUGAGGAAUACAUCGGAAUCUACUCUGUCGUGGGGGAUAACGUAGGGAAACUUACGCUAAUACCGCAUACGACCUACGGGUGAAAGCAGGGGAUCUUCGGACCUUGCGCGAUUGAAUGAGCCGAUGUCGGAUUAGCUAGUUGGCGGGGGAAAGGCCCACCAAGGCGACGAUCCGUAGCUGGUCUGAGAGGAUGAUCAGCCACACUGGAACUGAGACACGGUCCAGACUCCUACGGGAGGCAGCAGUGGGGAAUAUUGGACAAUGGGCGCAAGCCUGAUCCAGCCAUACCGCGUGGGUGAAGAAGGCCUUCGGGUUGUAAAGCCCUUUUGUUGGGAAAGAAAUCCGGCUGGCUAAUACCCGGUUGGGAUGACGGUACCCAAAGAAUAAGCACCGGCUAACUUCGUGCCAGCAGCCGCGGUAA
rnacentral:rRNA from 1 species